rfam:Fusarium verticillioides 7600 chromosome 9, whole genome shotgun sequence.
UCCCGGUUGACGCAAUUGGUUAGCGUGUCAGACUUUUACCAAACAGUGAAAUCUGAAAGUUACGAGUUCGAGUCUCGUACCGGGAG